UAGCGGUUAUCUUACAGAAGGAAAUGUAGAACAAGAUGUGCGGAUUUGGAGAUGAUGUGGAACUGACAACCUGAGAAAUACCAUCCGUAAAGGAAGGACUUGGGCUCAGACACAGGGCAAGGAAACUCCCAGGGAGAUUCAGCAGUGGCACUGAAAAGGAGGAGGGAAGCAGUCAAGCCAGUUUCCUGCUGAAGAUGCUAGGAAAAAGGCUUUCAACAAGCAGAAGAAUAUCACUGUCCUCAGAGUGGACAUCUGAACUGGUCAUGAAAAUGAUCGCUGGGAUUAUAUUUGUCUAUUUUCAGAGACUUUGCAGGAUGGAUUUAUAGUAUAAGAAAAUCUCCAAGCUCACCUAUGCCUCAGGCAUUCAGCAUUCACCAAGUCACUGAAACUCUUCUCCUUGUUCAUGUGUUCAUGUUCUCCUGUCUUUCAUAUAAAUGCAUUGUUACACAUCUCUACAAAGAAGAGAAUACAACAAGACAAGCCGUAGCCAGUAGUCACAGUGAUGAGAUUAUUUCGAACUGCCUUUAAAGACUCAUGUGUUAAUGACUGGCAAAUAGUUAGGUCUUCUUAAAAGCCUGGUUCCAAUACAAUGUAAUGGCAACUGCGAAACAUAAUGGUUUCCCAAAUAAGCUAUUACAAGACAGGACUUGUGGUAUCUCAGAUACACAGAGUUCACCUAUCUUUACUUCUAAAAGAAUGUACAAAUUGUGCAAGCUUGUAGUCCCUUGUUAAUUAUACUCCAUGUUUAGCAGCUCUAUCUCAAAGCUCUCUCCAAACAUUAAGACUCCUAGUGCUUCUUUUAUGUAGGCAUUAUUAUCCCUGUCAUUAUCAUUAUCACAUUUUCCAUUUUAUAGGUGGUAAAUGAGCAAAAUCACACUGUGAGUCAGUAGCUGAACUGGGAAUAGAAUAUUGUAGUCCUGACUUUGUCCCUUGCUUUAAUUACUCACUAUUAUGAUUGUUAUUUGUGGGUUGAAGUGAUUUUAUUCAGUGUAAGACAUCAAUAAAUG